UCCACAGUGACUGGAAGCCAACACAGGGAGAAAAAGCAAGGAGAUUUGAUCUGCCUGAUUGGUGGUGUCCACAAAGACAUGGGAGCCAGAAGAGGCCAAAAUGGAAAGUCAGCUUAUUUCAUCUAGUGAGAGCAAGAGGAUAAACACAUGAAGCUUCCAGAUGAUUUGUGAGCAGAAGGUCCAAAUCAGCAGCAAGCUGCAAUUCCCAUGGCUGCUCAAGUUCCAUGAGCAACUGCUUGGAGGACUAGUUCUCAAAAAAGGCAGAUACACAGGAUCAUCUCCAGCAACAGAUGCAGAUCAUAGAGAAAUGCCUGAAACAUAUGCAAAAAAAAAAAAAUCAAAAUCAAUAUCACCAAACAAAACAAAACAAAAACCAAAACCAAAAAAACAACCAAAAAAAAAACCGCAACAAAUCUCACCCCCCCACCACAAAAAAAGGCCAAAAAACCAAAACANNNNNNNNNNNNNNNNNNNNCCCCCCCCCCCCAAACCCCAAAAACAACCAACAAACAAAAGAUAGAAGCGUUAAUUGCUACUUAAGUGGGUAAAUCUCUUUCUGGUGGCAUGUCCAAGGGUCAGGCCAGUGAUGAGGAAACAGGUCAGGAGAAGAAGAACUGAUUUCAUUGCUGAUUGCCAUUGCUCCAACUAAUAAUGUGCCUUCUCAUUUCUCAGCAUGUAAAAAAAGGCUUUAUAUGCUGGAAACUAUGAAUUACUAGAAGAUCUGUUAAAAAGAACAGAAGAUAUUAAUUUAUAUUCAUUUUAUUAAUUUUAUCAGCCAUGAGAGAAAGUUUACAUUGAGUUUCUAGAACAUUUUUCUUCCUGCUUUCUGAAUGGAAACAGGAAACAGGAAACUGUUUCCUAAUCACCCAAACUCAGCACCACCAUAAGUGGGUACAAAGCAGUUGCAUUCCAUUAAUUUCUUCUGUCUCCUCAUCUUUGUGUAGUGUCAGUUUUCCUCACAAAACAGAAAACUAAUAACUGCUGAGAUUUGAGCUCUUGGAAAGGAAUUUUACUGUGCAGUUUGCACACAUCUACUCUUUUCUUUG
rnacentral:lncRNA from 1 species